AACCUAAACCUAAUUUCUUGAUAUUUCUUGAUACCUUGACUGGUUCCACAUUUUUCAAAUAAAUGCCAAAAAAAGUUAUUAGCAUUUACAAUCACUCGUCAAGACUCAAGAUUUAAGAAAAAAACAUGAAGCCAAUGGGCUGGCUCAAAGGCAGUCACAAAGAAGUAACCAUUGAUAGAUGACCGCCGGGUUUUAUCAGACUGGGCUCACAAAUGGGCUGGCUUAUUGGGACAGAACCGGUCGAGCUUUAAAGCAAACCGUCAAAUUCAUAGUGACAGUCACAGACAACAAACAGGAAAACCCUAAGGGACAUUGAAGAGUGGAAACCCAUUUGCCCAAAGACAUACCAGGGUUUUCUACAGAAAGCUUUGAAUUAUAUCAUUGAGGGGUUAAAUGGCUUUGAGGCGUCUCUUUGGGUUUUCUGAUGGGGAGCUUAUGAGGUCAGAUGCCAAACCUUGUUCUAGAUUAAUGAAACAGACCGCUGGACUUUUUACUGUUGGUGGGGGAUUCGCAUUCUGGAUUCUUUGUCGGUUGCAUUACGGUAUGGUCCUCGUUGUUAUUUUAUCGUCAAUGCUCUGUAUGAUUGGAUUUUUAUUAGAGCCCCAAGUUUGGUAGCAUGCUGGUUUGAUUAAGGUGAUGAAAGACUGGAGCCAUGCUCUUGAUUUAUCCUCAAUCUUUACUCAAGUGAUUGUUAGUUUAUAUUCACUUUUGGUUUCUCUUGUUAUGGCUCUCUGAUAGUUAUCAGAACCUUCUUAGUUAGAAAGGUCAGCUGUAGUGUUUUUAUUCAAUUUAAAGCAAAGAGGUUUUGAUAUCCAAAAAAACUAUUCUGCUUGCAAUGCAUUUUCUUGCUAUCAUAAAUGUUUAUAUGUUUUACAGAAGGGCCUAUCCAUGAUCUGAUGCUUUGAGAUUGGAAUAUUGUGUCACAAAAGUUGUUUAUGCAUUGUCCAGAUGUUGGGGAUGUUUGUUUUCUUCUUCAAAAGAUUAUUCAUUACUAAAUCUUCAAAAUAAAGCUAACGAAAUUUGAACUGAUGUUCUGCUGUUUAAGUUACAUUGAUUGACAUCUUACACUAGUUAUUUAAAAUGUUCCAAAAGGACUUUCAUGAUUGAAGGCAUGCAAAACCUUAUUUUGUUGAAAUACAUCCAUGUGAUGAAAGGCAACCCACCUGGUACCUACCAUACUCGAAAACCACUUCUUCCAACACCGUGGAGAGUUAAAAUAAACAUUGUCAGGAUUACACAACUUGGCUCCUUGGUGAGUGAAAAUGGAAAAGAGAAGAGGAAGUCAGAAAAACUCUACCCAUAUAGGACAAAAUUUAGACCUUAAACUUCUUUUGGGUGGGUGGAGUGGACUGUGUUUAAUCUUUAAACUGAAUUACUUUUACUUUAGCUCUUUAUAUUUUGACAUCUUCGCUAGUAAUUAUACCAAAAUUCCACUCACUCAAUUCUAUUUUGCUAGAAUCACAUUAUAUAUAUUUACUUUUUAAUGCUUAUGCAGGUCCCAGAAUUACAGUGCCCAGAAGUCUUCGGUGGGCAGCUUGUGGAGCAGUAUCUGUGAGCUCGAGCAGUGCUUUGCUAGUCCGCCUCUUUAGUCCUGCAUGUGAGCCGCAGAAUAUAGCAGCUUAUGACAACAAAAAAUAAUGCUAGAUUACUAAGAGGUAUUCAAACUGGAACGGGAAUGAGUACUCUUCUAUUUGUCUCGUGUGGGAAAAUGAUUUUAUUUUGUAUUUCCUCCACAGAAUACCAGGGCUAAUUUCAUGUAACUACUACUGGUGCUCAGUGUGUGGGCUAGUAUCUGUUAACUGAAAAUAAAUUUCCUGUUAGUUUA